UAGAGUUUGAUCAUGGCUCAGAUUGAACGCUGGCGGUAUGCUUAACACAUGCAAGUCGAACGGAAACGAUACUAGCUUGCUAGUAGGCGUCGAGUGGCGGACGGGUGAGUAACGCGUAGGAAUCUGCCUGAUAGUGGGGGAUAGCCCGAAGAAAUUCGGAUUAAUACCGCAUGAUCUAUUCGUAGUAAAGUGGGGGACUUUCGAGCCUCACGCUAUCAGAUGAGCCUGCGUAAGAUUAGCUUGUUGGUGGGGUAAAAGCCCACCAAGGCGACGAUCUUUAGCUGGUCUGAGAGGAUGAUCAGCCACAUCGGGACUGAGACACGGCCCGAACUCCUACGGGAGGCAGCAGUGGGGAAUAUUGGACAAUGGGGGCAACCCUGAUCCAGCAAUACCGCGUGUGUGAAGAAGGCCUGAGGGUUGUAAAGCACUUUCAAUUGUGAAGAAAAGUUAGCGGUUAAUAACCG
rnacentral:rRNA from 1 species